UACGUAGGGUGCAAGCGUUGUCCGGAAUUAUUGGGCGUAAAGAGCUCGUAGGCGGUUUGUCGCGUCUGCUGUGAAAACCCGAGGCUCAACCUCGGGCCUGCAGUGGGUACGGGCAGACUAGAGUGCGGUAGGGGGAGAUUGGAAUUCCUGGUGUAGCGGUGAAAUGCGCAGAUAUCAGGAGGAACACCGGUGGCGAAGGCGGUUAGCUGGGCAGUUGCUGACACUGAGGCGCGACAGCGUGGGGAGCAAACAGG
rnacentral:rRNA from 1 species